UACGUAGGGGGCUAGCGUUGUCCGGAACCAUUGGGCGUAAAGCGCGUGUAGGCGGUUCGGUAAGUCCGCUGUGAAAGUCGGGGGCUCAACCCUCGAAUGCCGGUGGAUACUGUCGGACUAGAGUACGGAAGAGGCGAGUGGAAUUCCUGGUGUAGCGGUGAAAUGCGCAGAUAUCAGGAGGAACACCAAUUGCGAAGGCAGCUCGCUGGGACGUUACUGACGCUGAGACGCGAAAGCGUGGGGAGUAAACAGG
rnacentral:rRNA from 1 species